AUUGAACGCUGGCGGCAUGCCUUACACAUGCAAGUCGAACGGUAGCACAGAGAGCUUGCUCUCGGGUGACGAGUGGCGGACGGGUGAGUAAUGUCUGGGAAACUGCCCGAUGGAGGGGGAUAACUACUGGAAACGGUAGCUAAUACCGCAUAACGUCUACGGACCAAAGUGGGGGACCUUUGGGCCUCACACCAUCGGAUGUGCCCAGAUGGGAUUAGCUAGUAGGUGGGGUAAUGGCUCACCUAGGCGACGAUCCCUAGCUGGUCUGAGAGGAUGACCCGCCACACUGGAACUGAGACACGGUCCAGACUCCUACGGGAGGCAGCAGUGGGGAAUAUUGCACAAUGGGCGCAAGCCUGAUGCAGCCAUGCCGCGUGUAUGAAGAAGGCCUUCGGGUUGUAAAGUACUUUCAGCGGGGAGGAAGGGUUGCUGGUUAAUAACCAGCGACAUUGACGUUACCCGCAGAAGAAGCACCGGCUAACUCCGUGCCAGCCGCCGCCGUAA
rnacentral:rRNA from 1 species